rnacentral:rRNA from 1 species
GACGAACGCUGGCGGCGUGCCUAAUACAUGCAAGUCGAGCGAUGAUUAAAGAUAGCUUGCUAUUUUUAUGAAGAGCGGCGAACGGGUGAGUAACGCGUGGGAAAUCUGCCGAGUAGCGGGGGACAACGUUUGGAAACGAACGCUAAUACCGCAUAACAAUGAGAAUCGCAUGAUUCUUAUUUGAAAGAAGCAAUUGCUUCACUACUUGAUGAUCCCGCGUUGUAUUAGCUAGUUGGUAGUGUAAGGACUACCAAGGCGAUGAUACAUAGCCGCCCUGAGAGGGUGAUCGGCCAAACUGGGACUGAGACACGGCCCAGACUCCUACGGGAGGCAGCAGUAGGGAAUCUUCGGCAAUGGGGGCAACCCUGACCGAGCAACGCCGAGUGAGUGAAGAAGGUUUUCGGAUCGUAAAACUCUGUUGUUAGAGAAGAACGUUAAGUAGAGUGGAAAAUUACUUAAGUGACGGUAUCUAACCAGAAAGGGACGGCUAACUACGUGCCAGCAGCCGCCGUAACAC